AUUCGCCUGCUUAUUGGUUGUACUUGGACCACAGGCAGUCAAUUCGCAAGUACGCGUCAACCGAAAUCAUCACUAAAACGAUUUAGCACAGACAAACGUAUUUUUGCAACCCGUAUACACUUUACUUUCUUCGAGAUGGAUGCAAGUAACGAUCAAGCCGGGGUACUGAUGGGCAAUGACGGGAGACGUAAAGCCGAGCUGGAGCAAACAGCUGAGGAUGCAGUCCACAUCGGUUCUUCUGACCAGCCAACACAGGUUCCUACCAACAGUUAUGGAGCCCCUGGCAGUGACAUCUUGACUGACGGAAAAAAGAAGUGUACGAUCCUUUAACUGUAACAAGCUAGUUUGAAAUAGAUGUUGGCA